GGGGGGGGGGGGGGGGGGGGGGGGGGGGGGGGGGGCGGGGGGGGGGGGGCGGGGGGGGGGGGGGGCGCGGGGGGCGGGCGGGGGAGUAACGCGUGAGUAGCCUGCCCUUGGCUGUGGGAUAACUUCAGGAAGCUGGGGCUAAUACCGGAUAGGAGCUCCUGCUGCAUGGGGGGGGUUGGAAAGUUUCGGCGGUUGGGGAUGGACUCGCGGCUUAGCAGCUUGUUGGUGGGGUAGUGGCUUACCAAGUCUUUGACGGGUAGCCGGCCUGAGCGGGUGACCGGCCACAUUGGGACUGAGAUACGGCCCAGACUCCUACGGGAGGCAGCAGUGGGGAAUAUUGCACAAUGGGCGGAAGCCUGAUGCAGCAACGCCGCGUGCGGGAUGACGGCCUUCGGGUUGUAAACCGCUUUCGCCUGUGACGAAGCGUGAGUGACGGUAAUGGGUAAAGAAGCACCGGCUAACUACGUG
rnacentral:rRNA from 1 species